UGCGCAUAACGUCGAAAACCGUCCAUGACAUAAACAAAAUGGAGGACAACUUUGCACUUCGCAUAUGUCUUCACAUACCCGGGUAUAAUUAGCCGUGUGGAAUUAAUACCCUCGCCCGACGCUUCGCACCGUCGGCUUGGGGAUUAUUCCCGAUUUUAAUUGCCGAGUCUGGUAUAUUUUUUGAUAGCCAUGUUUCAGUGACCAUUAUUACAGAGGGGUCAGGGGCAUUGAACUAAAAAUAACUGGAACGCUACGUUCAGUAAACUGCGCAUGUAAAUUUUGAAGCCAAAAUUUGACUCCCAUGAAGCCAAAUGAAGCCAGUUUUGACUCCCAGACACGCACUUCCACGCGUGUUUCUACUGCGCGAUUUACUCGCGAGACAAUGCAGGGGGCGCUCGAAGCAUGCCGUUUUGAACGUUUUCAUGGCAGGAUGCAUAUCGAAAGGGAAACGGGCCUUUUCAAUUUAAAACGGGCCUUUUAAAGCCUGUGUACGACCUUGUAGAAUUUAGCUUCAAAUUUCCGCUUGAACGUAGCGUUCCAGUUAUUUUUAGUUCAAUGGUCAGGGGUUGUUGACUGAGACAAUACCAGACAGCUCACCAAUUUUAUUGCUUAUAUGGCAAAAUUUUGAGAGGAAGAAGGUUGGGCAAACAGAAGAUGGAUUUGCUGGGGUCUCACAAUUUUGACUUUUAUACAGUUAUACGGUAUACUUUUAUAAACAUGCUGCGUUUGUCCAGGAAAUUUUCGUUGUAAAGUAUUAUGCCGCGUAGUUAUUCGAACUGGGAUGUUGUAUAUAAAGCCUGGUUCACAUUGAUCGUAAACAUCGGCGAUGCCCAUUGUCGGUGGUCAUUGAUGUAUAAAAUAUUUUGUGCAUUUUCUUCUUCGUUGCUCACAGACAAUGGAUCGUAGAACAUCGCCGAUCAAUGUGAACCAGGCUUUACAUCCUUUAUAUUAGAGGGGGUGUAAAUUCGGGUUGGUAUCGUGUUCACCAUCGUAAACGAGGUGGGUAUAUUGGAGCAUUCAUCAGAGGUUGUAUCCAAGGGUGGGUAGGCCAUGAUGUCAUAGGGAAAUCUAGGGGAACCUGCGUGUUGUUGCUCCUCUGGUGGGAUUGCAUACAAUUUGGAGACGCUGUCCUUUGUGUAUAGGAUAAAAAAGGAUUAAGAUAAUUUAAAUCGAACCCUUGAGUCGGAUGAGUAUUUGAAGAAUCGCUAUGCAAGAAGUCGCACUGGUUUCCCUUCAGACAAAAACCCUUCCGUCGUAGGAAGGGGCAAUGCAUUCUAUGUUUAGGCACUCUGUUCGAUGGCUGGUUUUGAUGCGAAUAUUGUGGAUGUUUGAAGUCACAUUUUUUCUUCUUUAAGCACCAGCUGCCUCUACGCAAAAGAAAGGGACAUGGAGUGUCAUUUUUAGACAUAAUAUUCAUACUGGUGGUAUUGUUUGUCUCGUAAUUAGCAUGUUGAUCUUUGUCAUUCGACGGGUAAGUUUUGCUAGUAUUCAAAGCUUGACUGGUUUUUAUUUAGAUAAUAGCAUAGUUGCCCGGGUUUCUUUUGUUUCAACAGGGUCGAUUACUAACUAAUCGCCCGCUGUAGCGGGCGAUUAGUUCUAAUCGCCCGCUAGAGCG